rnacentral:misc_RNA from 1 species
CUUUUGAUUAUUAAGGUUAAAAUAAAUAGAAGAUUAUGUACAUAUGAUGAUGGAAUUGUAGCAGUCACAUUCAUUCCUAAAAAGCUCAAAUCUCUAUCAAACCUAAUCCACCAGCUCUUGCAAGCACAGAGACCAGACAAUACCAAACCAGGCCAGAAUACUUUCACCCAUCAUAGUACCCUAACUUUACCGGAAAAUUUGCAGCAGAACAGAUAGCAGAUUUUGAACGCUUUUCUGAUAUCUUGUUGUUCCCCAUCACAAACUUAGAACAUAGUACGACGUCAGUAGAGGAAAAUGAUCGGCUCAUGCUUAGCAUAAAGAAGAUAACCAAAUGCAGCAGAAAAAUGAUGCCUCAAAUAAAGGAUCCCCUCUCUGCCAACCCAGCUAUAUCAGUGUACCAUUAUGUACUUCGAAUUGUGUCCACUCGAUCAAUGACAUCCAAAGCUUUGAGUCGAUCCAUGUUAAAAUCGAUUACUGGAACAGAAGACAGUCUCCUGACGGGAAAGGGAUCCUUCCUGGUUUCACGUAUAGGGGAAUGGUUACUACUCUUACUCAGCCUGUGGAACUUGCUAAGCCUAGUUCUUGCAGUAGCGAAUUCUUGGGACUUGCUAAUUCCAGGUGUCAGUUUUCUCUUGCUUACAUCCCGAAGCAUCUCUUGGUCUUCAACUGUUAAUGUGGAAGAUGGAGAACUUGGCUUGUGUGUUAACUGAUUCAUCUUUUGAUUAGGGUAACAAGAUGGAGAUUUUACAGGAGAUCUGAUUCCGCCAUUUGUAGAAUUUCUCGACUGAGUGACAAGAUAGUGAAGCCACACCACCAGUUCAAGAAUAUAAGCUUCGGUUUUCUCCUUAUCAGCAUGAUAUAGUGUCUCAAUUCGAAGUAGAUCAGUCUGGCCAGCAGGUUUCCCUGUAUUUGCCCAUUCUCCAACCCAUCCAAAGCCAUGGUGGGCCUUGGUUGUGUUGGUUGCCAUGGGAACAAGCCACUGCAGCGUUUUCUCCAUUUCAGCCUUGAUUUGUUGCACAGUUAACUCUUCCUUGAGCUGGAAGGAUUGUAAUUUGAAUCGCAAAGCUGACUUAAUGCUUGGUGGCAACCCUUGGUAUAAAGCAUCUCUUGUAUUUGGGGGCACCGAACCUGAUCGCGUGACAAGCGUAUCAAUCUGAGUUAUGAUAUUUGCAUAAUGUAAUGCAAGACCAGCAGAUCCUAAUCUCUGAUGGUUGUUUUUUAUUGGACGGUCUCCAUCAGAGUUUCCAAAUGCAGCAUGGAUCUCCAAAUGGAGGAAGUGGACAAUGUCCACAAGCUUUUCCAUCACCUCUUCCAAUAUCUUCGACCAGAGAGACUUCUUUUUCAAACUUUUGACAUGUUUCUUUUGACUUUUCAACUCUGCUCUCAAAAUUGCAAGGCUGUCUCCUUUCUGAGUAGCAUUUGAAGUAUCCUCUUCUUGGGCUUUACGUCGACAAUCUUGUUCAAUUCUGUCCAAUGCAUGCAAUUCAUGGUACAGUUCUGCUGUAUACUGUACCAAGGUCAUUAAGUGCAGCAUCACAGUCUCAGCUUCUUCUUUUAGUUGUUUAUGAGGUGUCAAUUCUGAUUCCAACUUCUCAAAGUAACGGUCUAAGUUGUGCCAUUGAGG